rnacentral:rRNA from 1 species
AUUGAACGCUGGCGGCAUGCCUUACACAUGCAAGUCGAACGGCAGCACGGGAGCAAUCCUGGUGGCGAGUGGCGAACGGGUGAGUAAUGUAUCGGAACGUGCCCAGUCGUGGGGGAUAACGUAGCGAAAGCUACGCUAAUACAGCAUACGAUCUGUGGAUGAAAGCGGGGGACCGUAAGGCCUCGCGCGAUUGGAGCGGCCGAUAUCAGAUUAGGUAGUUGGUGGGGUAAAGGCCUAACAAGCCGACGACCUGUAGCUGGUGUGAGAGGACGACCAGCCACACUGGGACUGGGACACGGCCCAGACUCGUACGGGAGGCAGAAGUGGGGAAUUUUGGACAAUGGUCGCAAGCCUGAGCCAGCAAUGCCGCGUGCAGGAUGAGGGCCUUCGGGUUGUAGACUGCUUUUGUACGGAGCGAAAAGGCUCUCUCUAAUACAGGGGGCUCAUGACGGUACCGUAAGAAUAAGCACCGGCUAACUACGUGCCAGCAGCCGCCGUAA